CUCGUAGGCGGCUCGUCGCGUCCGGUGUGAAAGUCCAUCGCCUAACGGUGGAUCUGCGCCGGGUACGGGCGGGCUGGAGUGCGGUAGGGGAGACUGGAAUUCCCGGUGUAACGGUGGAAUGUGUAGAUAUCGGGAAGAACACCAAUGGCGAAGGCAGGUCCCUGGGCCGUUACUGACGCUGAGGAGCGAAAGCGUGGGGAGCGAACA
rnacentral:rRNA from 1 species